GAGAGAGGCCCAGAGGCAAUAAAAACUGCUAACUUUUACCACCCGCGGUUAAACUCCGCGGCUCACUCG
rnacentral:tRNA from 1 species